AAAUUGAAGAGUUUGAUCAUGGCUCAGAUUGAACGCUGGCGGCAGGCCUAACACAUGCAAGUCGAACGGUAACAGGAAGCAGCUUGCUGCUUCGCUGACGAGUGGCGGACGGGUGAGUAAUGUCUGGGAAACUGCCUGAUGGAGGGGGAUAACUACUGGAAACGGUGGCUAAUACCGCAUAACGUCGCAAGACCAAAGAGGGGGACCUUCGGGCCUCUUGCCAUCAGAUGUGCCCAGAUGGGAUUAGCUAGUUGGUGAGGUAACGGCUCACCAAGGCGACGAUCCCUAGCUGGUCUGAGAGGAUGACCAGCCACACUGGAACUGAGACACGGUCCAGACUCCUACGGGAGGCAGCAGUGGGGAAUAUUGCACAAUGGGCGCAAGCCUGAUGCAGCCAUGCCGCGUGUAUGAAGAAGGCCUUCGGGUUGUAAAGUACUUUCAGCGGGGAGGAAGGUGUUGUGGUUAAUAAGCGCAGCAAUUGACGUUACCCGCAGAAGAAGCACCGGCUAACUCCGUGCCAGCAGCCGCGGUAAUACGGAGGGUGCAAGCGUUAAUCGGAAUUACUGGGCGUAAAGCGCACGCAGGCGGUCUGUCAAGUCGGAUGUGAAAUCCCCGGGCUCAACCUGGGAACUGCAUUCGAAACUGGC
rnacentral:rRNA from 1 species